rnacentral:lncRNA from 1 species
GAUAUUUUUGUCUGUCACAUAGAUUUCUAUAAAAGAUGCAGUGUGGAGAGAGAUCUCCCUAAGAGCAGAAGCAUUGAAGUUUUUUUUAUAAGUAUCAAGAGAUCUUCAUGAUUUGCCGAAGGCGCUGGAUGCCGUAUCCCGUUGAAGAGCCCAAGUUCCAGUUGACUUCGGUGUUUGAAUCCCAUUAAAAACUCGAUGAAAGCCUGCUUAAAAACCCACUGACGCUUCUACGAACCCACCAGCCCGCUACGCACCUUCCUUCGGUCUUUCCACUUUUACGUUUGUGCACAAAGUCCAGCUCGAUACCCGCACAUCUCGUCUUUUCCACAUGCAUGCCAGCCCCCAUACCAC